CCGCCCCCUACCGUCACGCUCAGGGGCAGCCUGACCCCGAGCGGCCCCGCGGUGACCCUCGCGCAGAGGCCUGUGGGAGGGGCGUCGAGGGUCCCCGGCAACCCCCCGUCGGUCCCCCGCCCGCCUAGUCUCCUCCCCCUGGGAACGCGCGGGGUGGGUGACAGACCUGGCCGCGCGCCACCACCACCGCGCCUGCCGGGGGCGCUGAAGCUGCCUGAGAAAGAAGCCACGGCUGCCGCCUGGAGGAGGUGCCGUAGCGCCCGCCACCGCUGCCGCCGCCGCCAGGGCAUGGACUUCACUGCAUCUCUCUCUGGUUGACCUCCAAUUCCAAAAUCUGCCUGCUUCAGCCUCCAGGAACUGAGAUAACACCAGCCUGCUCAUCCCUUACUCUAUGGAGGUGCCCUGAAGCAAUUCCUACAUGAUUCUUACACAUGCCACAUUUAGAAUCAUCUGAGGAGUGUUAGCCCAACCUUUGCCCUAAGUCUCUCCUGAAGCUAAGUAAAUCUGGAGAAUGGAGCGUAAAAGGGUGAAGUUCGGUGAAGAAGCUGCUGACCUGAAUGACGAGAUGCUUGGCUGCACGGGUGUCCUGUGGCUGAGGAGGGAAGCUUAGAGCCUGUGUCAUCAACUCUGUGAAAACAUGGGACACUGCCAGACAUAGAUGCACAUUGUCUGAGAAGGCUGGCCUCUAACUCAACGAUUGUGUAGACAACAGAAUAUCCAUAUCUAGAUUAUAUGUGUAAAGAACUUAUAAAAAUCAGUUAUGUUUUGUUUCUUGGUUUGUUUGGCUUUUUUCCGAUUGGUGUUAAUACUAUAGCCCAAAAAAAAAAAAAAAAAAAAAAAUACUAUAGCCCAGACUGAUCUCCAACACAAGGCAAUCUUCUUGCCUUAGAUUUCCCAGUUUGGAAAUUAUAAACAUGAACUACCAACACCAAUUUAAAAAAACUUUCUUAGGGAGAGGAAGAAUGGGCUAGGGAGUUGCCAGAGGGGAAACUGAGAAAGGGGAUAACAUUUGAAAUGUAAAUAAAGAAAAUAUCCAAUAAAAGAGAAAAAAAAGGCAAAA
ensembl:lncRNA